AUUGAACGCUGGCGGCAUGCUUUACACAUGCAAGUCGAACGGCAGCGGGGGCUUCGGCCUGCCGGCGAGUGGCGAACGGGUGAGUAAUGCAUCGGAACGUGCCCAUGUCGUGGGGGAUAACUACGCGAAAGCGUGGCUAAUACCGCAUACGCCCUGAGGGGGAAAGCGGGGGAUCUUUCGGGACCUCGCGCGAUUGGAGCGGCCGAUGUCGGAUUAGCUAGUUGGUGGGGUAAAGGCUCACCAAGGCGACGAUCCGUAGCUGGUCUGAGAGGAUGAGCAGCCACACUGGGACUGAGACACGGCCCAGACUCCUACGGGAGGCAGCAGUGGGGAAUUUUGGACAAUGGGCGCAAGCCUGAUCCAGCCAUGCCGCGUAAGUGAAGAAGGCCUUCGGGUUGUAAAGCUCUUUCGGCCGGGAAGAAAUCGCAUUCUCUAAUAUAGGAUGUGGAUGACGGUACCGGACUAAGAAGCACCGGCUAACUACGUGCCAGCCGCCGCGGUAACAC
rnacentral:rRNA from 1 species